rnacentral:rRNA from 1 species
GAGUUUGAUCAUGGCUCAGAUUGAACGCUGGCGGCAGGCCUAACACAUGCAAGUCGAGCGGAAACGACAACAUUGACCCUUCGGGUGAUUUGUUGGGCGUCGAGCGGCGGACGGGUGAGUAAUGCCUGGGAAAUUGCCCUGAUGUGGGGGAUAACCAUUGGAAACGAUGGCUAAUACCGCAUAAUAGCUUCGGCUCAAAGAGGGGGACCUUCGGGCCUCUCGCGUCAGGAUAUGCCCAGGUGGGAUUAGCUAGUUGGUGAGGUAAGGGCUCACCAAGGCAACGAUCCCUAGCUGGUCUGCGAGGAUGAUCAGCCACACUGGAACUGAGACACGGUCCAGACUCCUACGGGAGGCAGCAGUGGGGAAUAUUGCACAAUGGGCGCAAGCCUGAUGCAGCCAUGCCGCGUGUAUGAAGAAGGCCUUCGGGUUGUAAAGUACUUUCAGCAGUGAGGAAGGUUCAUGCGUUAAUAGCGUAUGGAUUUGACGUUAGCUGCAGAAGAAGCUCCGGCUAACUCCGUGCCAGCAGCCGCGGUAA